ensembl:lncRNA
CUCCAUUGGUUACCUCUUAUUGGUCGAAGGGAAUGUCGGUCUGGAGGCACUAAGGUAAAGAUCCCGCCCUUCCGUCCCGCCUCCUUCCUGCUUGCUUGCCAGAGUCGGUGUACAGCUUUCCAUCCCUGAAAUCCUUGAAGGAGUGACCUGCGGGAGAUGGUGUCUCAGGAAAAUGAGAGCUGGCUUUUAGACCAUUCACAUCUUCUGCCCGCACCCAUGAUACUACGGAAAGCUAAUUGUUCGCUUGCAAAGAAGGGAAUCAAAGCUCCAGGCUUUCACUGCAUUCGCUGUAUCCUGCCUUUGGAGGAGUCUCUGGGAGUGCGAGUCACAGAAAGAAGACAAGAAGGCACUGGGUAUCCUGUUUGCAACUGCCCCACAGCACGGCCACUGACAAAGGCGGGGUGAAAAGCAAUACUGAAAUCCAUCGUUCAGGAAGCAGAGGCCAGAAAAAGUCCAAGGUGAUCCUUGGCAACUUAGCAAG